rnacentral:rRNA from 1 species
CGGUGACAGUGGUGCAUGGUUGUCGUCAGCUCGUGUCGUGAGAUGUUGGUUAAGUCCGCAACGAGCGCAACCCUAUUGUUAGUUGCCAUCAUUAAGUUGGGCACUCUAGCGAGACUGCCGGUAAUAAACCGGAGGAAGGUGGGGAUGACGUCAAAUCAUCAUGCCCCUUAUGACCUGGGCUACACACGUGCUACAAUGGUUGGUACAACGAGUCGCGAGUCGGUGACGGCAAGCAAAUCUCUUAAAGCCAAUCUCAGUUCGGAUUGUAGGCUGCAACUCGCCUACAUGAAGUCGGAAUCGCUAGUAAUCGCGGAUCAGCACGCCGCGGUGAAUACGUUCCCGGGCCUU